GGUAAACUGAUGAAUGAGAGGUAAACUGAUGAAUGAGAGGUACUGUGAGGUAAACUCAUUAAUGAGAGGCACUGUGAGGUAAACUGAUGAAUGAGAGGUACUGUGAGGUAAACUCAUUAAUGAGAGGUACUGUGAGGUAAACUGAUGAAUGAGAGGUACUGUGAGGUAAACUGAUGA